CUGUUUGAUCCUGGCUCAGGAUGAACGCUGGCGGCGUGCUUAACACAUGCAAGUCGAACGAUGAAGCCCAGCUUGCUGGGUGGAUUAGUGGCGAACGGGUGAGUAACACGUGAGUAACCUGCCCUUGACUUUGGGAUAACUUCAGGAAACUGGGGCUAAUACCGGAUAGGAGCUCCUGCUGCAUGGUGGGGGUUGGAAAGUUUCGGCGGUUGGGGAUGGACUCGCGGCUUAUCAGCUUGUUGGUGGGGUAGUGGCUUACCAAGGCUUUGACGGGUAGCCGGCCUGAGAGGGUGACCGGCCACAUUGGGACUGAGAUACGGCCCAGACUCCUACGGGAGGCAGCAGUGGGAAUAUUGCACAAUGGGCGGAAGCCUGAUGCAGCAACGCCGCGUGCGGGAUGACGGCCUUCGGGUUGUAAACCGCUUUCGCCUGUGACGAAGCGUGAGUGACGGUAAUGGGUAAAGAAGCACCGGCUAACUACGUGCCAGCAGCCGCGGUGAUACGUAGGGUGCGAGCGUUGUCCGGAUUUAUUGGGCGUAAAGGGCUCGUAGGUGGUUGAUCGCGUCGGAAGUGUAAUCUUGGGGCUUAACCCUGAGCGUGCUUUCGAUACGGGUUGACUUGAGGAAGGUAGGGGAGAAUGGAAUUCCUGGUGGAGCGGUGGAAUGCGCAGAUAUCAGGAGGAACACCGAUGGCGAAGGCAGGUCUCUGGGCUGUAACUGACGCUGAGGAGCGAAAGCAUGGGGAGCGAACAGGAUUAGAUACCCUGGUAGUCCACGCCGUAAACGAUGAGUGCUAAGUGUUAGGGGGUUUCCGCCCCUUAGUGCUGCAGCUAACGCAUUAAGCACUCCGCCUGGGGAGUACGACCGCAAGGUUGAAACUCAAAGGAAUUGACGGGGGCCCGCACAAGCGGCGGAGCAUGCGGAUUAAUUCGAU
rnacentral:rRNA from 1 species